ACCCUAAUCUCUCACUCUCUCUCUCUCUCUCAAAUUCCCUCCAUCUCUCCUUUGCCUCACAACCCAAACUCACUCUUCAUCUCUUGGUCUCAAUCUCUCCAUCUUUCGGUCUCAAGCUCACUGACCCAAGUCCCAAGCUCACUCAGAUGGGGGUCCAAUGUUUAUAAAGGCAAUUGAUGGGUCGAGUACAAAGACAAACAUUUUAUUGUUGGGUUGUUGAACGAUGCUAUAAAAGAGACUGGGCAUGAAAAAGUUAUCCAAGUCAUCAUUGAUAAUGCUAAUGUGAUGAAGGCUACUGGAGCUCUUGUUGAAGGUAUUACUCAAUUGAAUGGCUUUCGGAGAAUCCAAAUCGCCUCCCUCCACAUCAAGAUCAUGAAAUUUCUGUAGAAAGGAGCAAGAGUUCAGAGCAAUACUUUGAAGAUGAGAAUGAAUUAAGGAUGGUGAAAGUUGAGUUUGCUACAUUUUCAGGAGGGAGGUUUCCUUUACCAGAUGCAUUGACAAAUAGGUGGCUCUUACAACCUUUGGUUUGGUGGCAAUACCAUGGCUCUUCAUUACCAACGCUUCAAACUCUUGACUUUAAACUUCUUGGACAACCUCGUUCAUCCUCAUGUGCUAAGAGGAAUUGGAGCACAUACAAAUUCAUUCAUUCCUUAAAAGAAACAAAAUGGCUCCUGCACGUGCUAAGGAUUUGGUAUUUGUGCAUUCUAAUCUUCGACUCUUGUCAAGGCGCCAUGAGGAGUAUGUAAAUGUAGCAACAAAGAUGUAGGAUAUUGCAAGAGACUCUUGGAAUGAGAGUGAAAUACAUGGAGGAGUCAGAAUUCUUGAGAAUGCUACCCUUACACUUGAUGAGCCAGAGUUGGAGGCCAUGGUUAUUGGGAAUGCUAGCUAUAGUGUUACUACUAAUGAAAGUGAAGUUCAAAGUGAAGUUAUUAAUCUUGAAAAUGAUGAUGAAAGUUUUAUUUGAUUGUCUUGAAAACUUGUCUUUUAUUUUGUUUUUGUUUCAAACUUGUGGGUUUUAUUCUAAUUUCUAAACAUCAUGGAAUGGUUAUGUAUUCAA